rnacentral:lncRNA from 1 species
GGCAUGCCACAGCUCCUCUAGGCUCUGAACCCCUCUCAGCUGAGCCUGGUAGAUGCCAGCUGACCGGCUGCAGCCCCUGAGUAGAGGUUGGCUGUCCUAGCAAUAGAGUAGGGCGGGGGCACAGCAGACAUGGGACCAUCAUCUGGAUUCCUAGACGUGCAACUGCAAGCUUAGAAGAAAUAAAGGAAAUAUCCCAGGAGCAAAAACAAAACACACACAUGCUCCUCUCAAGAGUCACUGGCAUCCCAGCUGAAAAGUCAGCUCUACACCUAUGGGACCUAUGGGCCUGUUUCUGAGCUCUGUUUUGUCUCUUUGGUCUGAGUGUCUAUCUGAGGCCAAUACCACAGUACCAAAUGCGAUUGCUUUAGAGGAAGUCUUGAAAUCAGAUGAGG